GUCCAGCCGCCGCGGUAAUACGAAGGGACCUAGCGUAGUUCGGAAUUACUGGGCUUAAAGAGUUCGUAGGCGGUUGAAAAAGUUGGUGGUGAAAUCCCAGAGCUUAACUCUGGAACUGCCAUCAAAACUUUUCAGCUAGAGUUUGAUAGAGGAAAGCAGGAUUUCUAGUGUAGAGGUGAAAUUCGUAGAUAUUAGAAAGAAUACCAAUUGCGAAGGCAACUUACUGGGUCACUACCGACACUGAGGAGCGAAAGCAUGGGUAGCGAAGAGGAUUAGAUA
rnacentral:rRNA from 1 species